rnacentral:snRNA from 1 species
GGAUGUAAGGGCAAUCUGGCUGCAACAUUUUUCACCCACUGACCGUCAGGGUUGAUUCGGCUGAUCUGGCUGGUUAGGUGGGUGUCCCCUUCCUCCCUCACCACUCCGUGUGCGUCCCUCCUGAAGCUGCGUGCUCGUCGAAGAGGACCACUUUCCCCGAAUAGAGGAGGACCGGUCUUUGGUCUAGGGUAUACGAGUAGCUACACUUCCCUGCUUGAAUCUCCAAACAAGCUCUCAAGGUCCAUUUUAGGAGUAUGUAGGGUAGUCAAGCUUCCAAGACUCCAGACACAACCAAAUGAGGCGCUGCAUGUGGCAGUCUGCCUUUGUUU